rnacentral:rRNA from 1 species
AUGAACGCUGGCGGCGUGCUUAACACAUGCAAGUCGAACGGUGAAGGCGGAGCUUGCUCUGCUGGAUCAGUGGCGAACGGGGGAGUAACACGUGAGCAAUCUGCCCCUGACUCUGGGAUAAGCGCUGGAAACGGCGUCUAAUACUGGAUACGAGCUGCGAAGGCAUCUUCAGCAGCUGGAAAGAACUUCGGUCAGGGAUGAGCUCGCGGCCUAUCAGCCUGUUGGUGAGGUAACGGCUCACCAAGGCGUCGACGGGUAGCCGGCCUGAGAGGGUGACCGGCCACACUGGGACUGAGACACGGCCCAGACUCCUACGGGAGGCAGCAGUGGGGAAUAUUGCACAAUGGGCGAAAGCCUGAUGCAGCAACGCCGCGUGAGGGACGACGGCCUUCGGGUUGUAAACCUCUUUUAGCAGGGAAGAAGCGAAAGUGACGGUACCUGCAGAAAAAGCGCCGGCUAACUACGUG